CAGCCAUAUGGCAUUAAAACACCAGUUCUUGUACAAUCACCAAAGUUAACCAGCAUAGAGCUUGGUCAGUACCUAGGUGUGUGACCAUUUGGGAAUACCAGGUGCUGUAAG